rnacentral:rRNA from 1 species
GACGUAGGUGGCGAACGUUAUCCGGAUUUAUUGGGCGUAAAGGGCGCGUAGGCGGCUUGGCAAGUGGAUGGUGAAAUCCCUCGGCUUAACCGAGGAACUGCCGUCCAAACUGCUUCGCUUGAGACCGGGAGAGGUGAGUGGAAUUCCCAGUGUAGCGGUGAAAUGCGUAGAUAUUGGGAGGAACACCAGUGGCGAAGGCGGCUCACUGGACCGGUACUGACGCUGAUGCGCGAAAGCGUGGGGAGCAAACGGG